GGGCCGUCCGGGCCGGGCUGCCAUGGCCAGUUAUGACCUCGCCUAGUGGUUCCCCGGCGGCCGCGCCCGCGCCAGCUGCCGCUUCCGGCGGUAGCCUUCAACUCUCGCGUCACCCAACCGCACGUGCCCGACUCGCCGCCAGUAGAUCUGGCGGCCGCCGCGGAGCUAGUCGAGCAGUCCGUGGGCAGAACAGAAAGCGCGCCGUUCCUGGCCGUGGGCAGGCCGCCGCGGUGAAGGCCAACUCCGGCCUCCCCGUGGGCUUCGCCCCCUCCUGUGCCACCUCCCCGUUCGGCGGAUUCAUCCGGUUCAACCCCGGCCAGCAGCCCUGUUCGGAUGCAUGCCCCAGUACGCGCUGCUCCGCCUCGCCUGAUACAGCGGCGUCACGGUCCGCUGUUGAAUUACCAAGUCCACAGAACAAUUUCUACCGGGUGCUCUGAAGUCCCAAAUUGGUUUGCUACAUGAUCAAACAAAUUAUGUAUUUUACAGUUCGGCGAUCCUUUUAUAACUUCAAAAUUCACUUCCAGUAGUGUGAUAACAAGCAGUUAGUCAUUGCUGCAUGUGGCUGGUCUGGUCGGUUCUGACAAAGGGCAGCAGCACACUAUGAGAAUGCGGUUAUUUAUUCUGAUGCCCAUUGUGCUCAGUAAAUGGGAGUUUGAUUAGAUAAAUCAAUUCUCGCAGGCAUUGCUAAGUCACCAUAGAUGAGGGUGCAUCUGUUGAAGCCGAAAGUAAUGACAAUUCACAGAGUACGCUCUAUGCAAAGAAUUGCCACCAGGAGGCUGCUGGGACAAUGGCAUAAUUUCAGGGGAGCUUCCUUCUGGGUGGGGGAAUGCCCUUCGAGUUACUGUUCUGGACCCCACAUCUUGCCCAUUCAACAUUUCAUCAGAUGUCAUAACAUGUGUUGGAUUUUCAAUAUUCUGUUCUGUUUGUUUGCUUUUGCUGAUAGCCCUUCUGAUGCUUCAGGGAACUGUUCUGAAUAGUAGGCGAAUGUUUUGCUAAAUUUACCAGGAUUUCUUGGAUAGCGCUGACCUUGUGACAUCAAAUAUGCUAUCUGCGUACCCUUGGGCUUUUGAAGCAGCUACGCUAGCUGUAAAUAAUGCUCUUUCUGAAUAAGUCGUUUGCUUGCCAGCUUAAUAAUGCGUAGAGAGUUUUCUCAAUCCUAUUGCUGCUUCUCAUGUACAGUAGAAUUGUUUUCCUCACUUUGUCAGAUGCAUUUUUUUUCUCUCUAUCAGAUGUAUUGUGUGCUAUCUGCUUUCUUUUAUGCAGAUGUAUUAUGCUAUCUGCUUUCUUUUAUGCAGAGUUAUCUGCAUUGUGUUAUUUUCUUUCUUUGUUUUCGAAUUACCUGCCUUCUGCAACAUAGGAACAUGCUGUUUCUGACGUUAAUUGCUCAUCAGGUCCUAGUUGGGUUGCGGUGUCGAACUGUCGCUAAGAAAGAAAGUAAAUUUAAAGGAUAUAUUUUGCCUGGAAAAGGGAAUACCCCGCCUCUUGAAGACUUCAGAGUGAUGCACACAGGCAACUUUUGAUUUGCUGCAGGCUAGUCACAAGUUACUCUUUGUUUUUUCUUUGAAUAGAUACAAGUUACUCUGGUACGGCUUACGUAUAGCCAGGAUGUCAGCUCCUUUGCUAUUUUAUUAGGCCAGUACUAGGCGUCAUCCGGAUGAUGUCCCGGGGAAAUAAGCCGCCUUGCCCGUCGUUGAUUUCCGCUAAUACAGUACGAUCUGGGCCGAUGGAUUCCUUGA